rnacentral:lncRNA from 1 species
AUGGUCACCAGUAUUAAAAUGCCACAAAAAAAGCACUGAAAAAAAGUAAUUGUUGACCUUGCUGAGGAGCAUUUCAAUGGAGUAGCUGUGGGAGAAAGCUCAUUACAUUCCCAGAAAAUUGGAGCAAGUGUGGAGGACGGGGGCAGUUAGAUUCAUCAUGAAAAAAGAUUUUGUUUUUUGGAUCCCUUUGCAAACAACAGAACAAGGACAUGGAGAACGCUGGCAAGCAUGAUGGACAAGAAAGAAAGAAGUGAAGAUGAAAGGGAAUGAAUAGCAGUCCUAUAAGGGGAGGGAGGAGAACCUGGACAAAAAAAAAAAAAGGAAGUUGCUGAGAAGUCCAGAGAAAUCCAGGAUUAUGGACUACAAAUCUGACCUAAGAUUUAGAAGCCUUCAGAAUCAAGGAAUUAGAAAACGAAUUAUAAAUAGACUUGAAUUAGUCUGCAUUCUGUGGCAAACUCAUUUAUAUGUUUUCCAGAAGCUAUGAUCAGCAUCAACACUGAAAUGUCUCUGAAACCAAUUUUACUGUACUUACAUACCUGAGAA